GAAUUAGGAGGAAAUAUUCAUAAUAUUCAUUGCCAUUAUUUUGGUGGAUGAUAUUUUAUGAAAGGAGAAGUCAUAUUAUUUGUUACACUUUGGCGGCUGGAUAUAUAUACACAUAAAGGAAUUAGAAAAGAGGGAGGCAGGUAUAACUUUUUAUAUAUUACGAAUUAGAGGAGGUGGGCCGUGAAAGGAUAUAAGCCCAACAACAAUUACUGGCAUUGUGAAUGGAUAUUUAGUGAGCUGCUUAUUGGGCCAGAGAUUAUCCAAAGUUGGUCGCACAACUUGAAGGCACGAAAACUUGGAGGCGGUGCACAUAAAAAAAUAUAUAUUGGAAAGAGCCGCACGAAUUCGAGGAGAGACAUCAGACGGCUGGGACGCACAUCAGGCGAGGAACAACAUCAUCAGCCGCACGCAAGAAUAUCUUGAGGACGAUUUUUGAAGGAAUUCAUAUAGAAUCAAAGUCAGGGAAUCGUUGGGUUGAAGCAAGAAGCUUGGAGAGCAAGGAAUAAUCGGGUUUUGUCAUUCGGUUUCUUUUAUUUUCUAGUCUCUUUGCUUAAAUUCAAUGAAUUCAUUAUUUGAACCUUGUUUGAUUAUUUUUGAGACUUUUUUAUCUUGGUGCGUAUGCGUGCUUGUGAUUAUUUGA
rnacentral:lncRNA from 1 species